rnacentral:misc_RNA from 1 species
GAUGAAGAACGUAGCGAAAUGCGAUAAGUAAUGUGAAUUGCAGAAUUCAGUGAAUCAUCGAAUCUUUGAACGCACAUUGCGCCCCUUGGUAUUCCGAGGGGCAUGCCUGUUCGAGCGUCAUUAUAACCCCUCAAGCUCAGCUUGGUGUUGGGGCCUGCUGCACUGGCAGCCCUUAAAAUCAGUGGCGGCGCCAUCUGGCUCUAAGCGUAGUAAUUCUUCUCGCUAUGGAGUCCUGGUGGAUGCUUGCCAUCAACCCCCAAUUUUUCUAUGGUUGACCUCGGAUCAGGUAGGGAUACCCGCUGAACUUAAGCAUAUCAAUAGGCGGAGGA